CCAGAACAAGAGAAACGCAGCUUUUGAGCAACUUGUAGUUUUUUUGUUUUGAUGCUUUGUUUGGGUUGAUUUAAUAUUUGUAAUGUGCUGUUAAUUUGAAAGUCAGGUUGAGGUAAAUUUUUGAGUAACCGGCUGCAGCGCCGCGGUUAACUGCCAACGGAUUUCUGCUGUAUUUGUUUUUUAAUUUUCUCUGCCGAACUACAUACAUCAAGCUAGGUUGCCCUGCGUCUGUUUAGUUGACCUUUGAUUCACUUGGAGAGGACCCAAGGCUGCUUGAGAGAACUUUGAACUGCACAGUGAAUUAUUUCAUGUAAAUCCGAACAUUUAGCGUAAGCAAAGGUGAAGACCUGAAGAUGACCUCAAGGAAAGUGGUUGAGCUGUUCUAUGAUGUGGUCUCGCCUUACUCCUGGCUCGGAUUUGAGGUCAUGUGUCGCUAUAGGAACGUGUGGAACAUCGACCUGAAGCUGCGUCCUGCGUUUCUGGGAGGCAUCAUGCAUGGAGCAGGCAACAAGCCUCCUGGUUUAGUUCCCAACAAGUUUUCCUACAUGACAAAGGAUCUCCACCGCCUGGCCAACUACUUUGACAUCCCUCUACACCCACCAUCUGACCCAUUUGAGGUCAUGUUCCAAAAAGGAUCCUUGUCUGCGAUGCGAUUUGUGACAGCGGUGCAGCAGAUCGAGAAAGGUGGAGACAAGCAGGUGGAGCAGGUUUCUCGGGAGCUGUGGAGGCGGAUCUGGAGUGAGGACAAAGACAUCACUCAACCUGAGUCGUUCUCUGAGGCAGCAAAAAAAGCAGGACUGACUGACAGUGAGAUUGAGGAAGUACUGAAGCUGUGCAUCUCACAGGAGGUCAAGGAUAAGCUCAAACACACAACACAGGAAGCACUGAACUAUGGGGCGUUUGGUUUCCCCAUGCUGAUUUGUCAUAUUGAUGGAAAACCAGAGAUGUUUUUUGGAUCUGACAGAUUUGAGCUUAUGGCCAACUGCAUUGGCUUAAGCCUCGGGGGCUCCUGAGUUGUUCCUGAAUCUCCAAACCAACCUUCAGUCAUCUGAGGGCAACAGUUUGGUUGAGAAGGUUGCAGCAGCACACAGUCGGGUGUUCCCACAGGAAAAAGAUCCCAAACGAGAGAAGUGGCUGGGACCUAAACCGGAUAGCUCUGCCUCCAAGCUGUGAGAUCAGAGCUCCUUUCACCUGCUCAUAUUAAAAUAUUUCAACACUCUAAGCUGUGCCUUCUGACAUGAACCUGUUCAAUUUUAGUAACUCCAUAAUUUCUGUUUGAACCAAUUAAUGUAACAUACAAUUUCACUGUAAAUGAUGUGCCUCGUCAAGCUGCAGCAGCUAAUGUUUGCUAUUGAUAAUAAAGCUCUUAGCUCUUC